rnacentral:misc_RNA from 1 species
AGAUUGUCGAUUUGCAAUAAUCCUGUAUAAAUUAUGGUUUUAGAGGAAAGCUAAAGAAUGUACACUGCCCUGACAGCCAUUUCCAUCACUAGGUGCAAGUGAAUCAGAUUCAUGAAACAAAAACUGUAAGAAACAGUUACCUUCAAGAAUAUAAUGCGCACUAAGUACAAAAAAUAAAUAUGUGGAACAAGUGUAAUCAUUUAAAAAAAAAUAAAAGAAUAAUUCAACAAAUCAUUCUGCAACUCCCGUUGAUCAUUGCGAUACAAAACACUCCUGCAAAUCUAUUUUUCGAUUCAAACUUUUGAAAAAAUCAUUUGCCAUGCAAUCAAACGUGUUGAUGGUAGCAGACUGACAAUCACUCAAUGACUGGAUUAUAUUUUUUAAUAGGCUGCACAGACUAGCAGCUAACUAUGUGGCUUUUACUUCCUAAAAUGUAGCAUGUGUAGGGCAACAUCAAUAAUUGAAACUAAAAAUAUUAGUAUGAUUGGAAGAUCUCUGAUUAAUUGAAAAAACAAAAAAAAAAAAGGAUUGUAGCUAUUCUGUGGAGCUUUUGGCCAAUGCAUGUUGAUUAUGAAACAUAUGGCACAAUCCCCACAGAUAGGUAACCAGAGGUCAAGAGGGUAAUCAGAUAAGUACAUCAUACAAUUUCCUGGACCCCACAUAGAAGACGGCAUUACCAAAAUGUCUAUUACACUUUUUCGAUGUCUUGACAGAACCUACCAUCAGCCCAUCAUAUCAUUAUAGAGCAGUCCAUGCAUGCAUAAAAGCUCUCAUCCAACUUUACACUCAACACAACCAAGCGUUAAUUCUGAUUAGUUGGGUUUAGAUAUGCAAAUCCAUUUCCAUCACUCCACUAGUUUUAGGGCUACAUCUUCAGAAAUGACCAAACUAUGUUUAAGGCACUUAAUUAAGACAUCACAGGUUCACAAACUAAAUCAGAAAAAAAAAAUGCCCGUGAUUUAAUUACUAAUAUAAUAUCAUGAACACAAUAACCAAUAGACAGAUUGCUUAGAAACAUAGAGAUCUUUGGCAGGCUGCUUUGGAUUAAGAAUCCAUUAUGCUUCUAAAUCACCAAAAUUCAUACAGCUUCUUUUUUUAUCCUACCAACAUUUAUGGAUCCCUACUAGGCUUCACAUUUAAACACUAUAACCUCCCCAGAAAGAAGAAAGAGUCUGACCCAAGAAGCUUAACCAUAUAAUUACAAAGCAAAUCCACCAAACACCAAUCCAAUUUUGACACACGUAACAAAGGACGCCCAGUUAUAAUGCGAUAAGACUAUAGAACAUAGUACCAUAUCUAAAACACAAUCUGUUCAGCUCAAGCAAAAAUAAGCACCACCCAUUUGCGCUUUAAAGCAACGAACUUUAUCUAGAAUUGCAACGACAUCCACUUAAUAAUAUUAAUAACAGCAUCAACAACGAUACCAGUUGACAAUUUAGAAGUCAACCAAAACAAAAUAACUUUUACAAAAUGUGAAGUGAAAAUAUAAAGACAGAACCUUUUGGCUCGUUUUGGAUCCAGAGUCCACAGCUCAGCAAGUUUAUCAGGAGCCAUAGCUUUCUUGGCCUCUAUAGACUCCAUAAUCGAAGACCCAUCAACAGAAUUGCUAUACCUAUGCCUAGGCCGGACAUUCUUCUCUCCUUCCAAGUCGACCCCGCAGCCGCCACCACUCGACCCAUGAACCGCAUUGUCAGGUUUGAGGCUAGAGGGGUCUUCAUCGGGUCUGGAUCCGAGCUUUUCAAUAUCCAUAUAGGUGCAGAAGAGGUCAUCUUCGGAUCCGAGCUCGUCGAAGGAGCUUCCGGAUGGACCUUCGAAUGGGUCCGGGACAAGAUCCAGGUCUUCAGGAAGACGGAAAUGGACCUCGGAAUGGGCUCGACGGUGACAAGAACUCCGGAUAGAAAAUGGUUGUCCUUGACCAUGAGGAAAGUUUUGGGUUUCUGGAGUUGGGUUAGUUUUCGGGUUGGGGUUUUUGUUUGGAUUUGGCGGAUCCUGCAUUUUGGUACUUGUUCUUCCCGCUCUUCUCCCUCUCUAUCCAGUUGCUGCUGCUUCUUCUUCUUCUUCCCCUACUUUCUUUAGAUCAAGCAGAAGAUGACUAAACCACACAGAACACCGUCCGGCCGUACGAAUCUGGCUUCUUGUAUAGUAGCCACCAUCUUCUUACUCUUUCUUGUUAUCAUAAUCCUCAUCGUCUUCUUCACCGUUUUCAAGCCUAAAGACCCCAAAAUCUCCGUCAACGCCGUUCAGCUCCCUUCCUUCGCUGUCUCCAACAACACUGUCAACUUCACCUUCUCUCAGUACGUUUCCGUCAAGAACCCUAACAGAGUUUCCUUCUCUCACUAUGACAGUACUCUCCACCUCCUCUACUCCGGUUCCCAAGUCGGCUUCAUGUUCAUUCCUGCUGGCAAGAUCGACGCUGGUCAGACCCAGUACAUGGCCGCAACAUUCGCCGUCCAGUCCUUUCCCUUGUCGUCCUCACCGGAUGCGGCCGUCAAUGUGGGUCCGACUUUCUCAAACGGCGGGUUCGGCGGUGGUCCUGGUGUUAAUAGUGGUUUCAGAGUGGGACCGACGAUGGAGAUUGAGUCAAGGAUUCAAAUGGUGGGUAGGGUUCGGGUACUUCAUAUUUUCACGCAUCACGUGGAGGCCAAGGCUGGUUGCAGAGUCGCCAUUGCUGUGAGUGACGGAUCUGUGUUAGGCUUCCAUUGCUAGCAGGUCUUGGGUUGUUCCACUUUUAAAUCUUAAUUAUAACUGUAGUUUCUUAUGGGUUUUGAAUUUGCAUAUCAAAUUUGUUUAAGAAAUUGUAAAAAUUGAUUUUGGUAGUAAAUUUUUCUGUGGGCUGUGAUCUAUGUUUUGAAAAUUUUGAGGUUUUGUAAUUACGCUAGUUGUUCAAUCUUCUUUCUUCCCCAAGCUUAAAUUUCCAUUUUCUUUCACGGGGAGGUGAUGAAUUUGGAAGUAUCAGCUGUUGAUUAAUGAUGCCAUUGUAUAAAAAGAGAAGCUUUUUGCUUUUUUAAGCUUUAGUUUGUAUUAUGGAGGGAUUAAUUUCGGUGCAAGUAAAG